rnacentral:rRNA from 1 species
UAGGGAAUAUUGCGCAAUGGGGGAAACCCUGACGCAGCAACGCCGCGUGAGUGAAGAAGGCUUUCGAGUUGUAAAGCUCUGUUUGGGGGGAAGAGAAAGGACAUUAUCCCCAGAGGAAGCACCGGCUAACUCCGUGCCAGCAGCCGCGGUAAUACGGAGGGUGCGAACGUUGUUCGGAAUUACUGGGCGUAAAGGGCGCGUAGGCGGACAAAUAAGAUCAUUGUGAAAGCUCAUGGCUUAACCAUGAAAGGCCAAUGAUAACUGUUUGUCUAGAGAGUCUGAGAGGGCCGCGGAAUUCCGCAAGUAGCAGUGGAAUGCGUAGAUAUGCGGAAGAACACCAGAUGCGAAGGCGGCGGCCUGGCAGAUUUCUGACGCUGAGGCGCGAAAGCGUGGGGAGCGAACA